rnacentral:rRNA from 1 species
AACGAACGCUGGCGGCAUGCCUAACACAUGCAAGUCGAACGAAGCCUUCGGGCUUAGUGGCGCACGGGUGCGUAACGCGUGGGAAUCUGCCCCUCGGUUCGGAAUAACAGUUAGAAAUGACUGCUAAUACCGGAUGAUGACGAAAGUCCAAAGAUUUAUCGCCGAGGGAUGAGCCCGCGUAGGAUUAGCUUGUUGGUGGGGUAAUGGCCCACCAAGGCGACGAUCCUUAGCUGGUCUGAGAGGAUGAUCAGCCACACUGGGACUGAGACACGGCCCAGACUCCUACGGGAGGCAGCAGUGGGGAAUAUUGGACAAUGGGCGAAAGCCUGAUCCAGCAAUGCCGCGUGAGUGAUGAAGGCCUUAGGGUUGUAAAGCUCUUUUACCAGGGAUGAUAAUGACAGUACCUGGAGAAUAAGCUCCGGCUAACUCCGUGCCAGCAGCCGCGGUAAACGUAGCGUG